GUGUGGGCUAUCUGGUUGUGCUUCUGUCACCCCAUUGAUCAUCAGGGUUGAUUCGGCUGAUCUGGCUGGCUGGGCGGGUGUCCCCUUCCUCCCUCACGCUCCACGUGUGUUCCUCCCAAAGCUGCAGGCUAGGUCAGGGAGGACGACCUUCCCCGCUAGAGGACCGUUCUUCAGUCAAGGGUACACAAGUGAAAAAGCCAUGCUCCCCUGCUAGAACCUCCAAACAAGCUCUCAAGGGCCACUGGGUUAUCAAUCAAUUAACCAGCAUUGGGAGCUACUGGAGUUAAGGGGCUAGAUACUAGGGAAGAAAACAGAGAUCUUCCUCCAGGGGCUCUGUAAUCU
rnacentral:snRNA from 1 species